GACGUAGGGCGCGAGCGUUGUCCGGAUUUAUUGGGCGUAAAGAGCUCGUAGGCGGCUUGUCGCGUCGGCUGUGAAAACCCGCGGCUCAACUGUGGGCGGGCAGCUGAUACGGGCAGGCUGGAGUUCGGUAGGGGAGCACGGAAUUCCUGGUGUAGCGGUGAAAUGCGCAGAUAUCAGGAGGAACACCGGUGGCGAAGGCGGUGCUCUGGGCCGAAACUGACGCUGAGGAGCGAAAGCGUGGGUAGCAAACAGG
rnacentral:rRNA from 1 species